rnacentral:rRNA from 1 species
AUUGAACGCUGGCGGCAGGCCUAACACAUGCAAGUCGAGCGGCAGCGGGAAGUAGCUUGCUACUUUGCCGGCGAGCGGCGGACGGGUGAGUAAUGUCUGGGAAACUGCCUGCUGGAGGGGGAUAACUACUGGAAACGGUGGCUAAUACCGCAUAACGUCGCCAGACCAAAGAGGGGGACCUUCUGGCCUCUUGCCAUCCGAUGUGCCCAGAUGGGAUUAGAUAGUAGGUGGGGUAAUGGCUCACCUAGGCGACGAUCCCUAGCUGGGCUGAGAGGAUGACCAGCCACACUGGAACUGAGACACGGUCCAGACUCCUACGGGAGGCAGCAGUGGGGAAUAUUGCACAAUGGGCGCAAGCCUGAUGCAGCCAUGCCGCGUGUAUGAAGAAGGCCUUCGGGUUGUAAAGUACUUUCAGCGGGGAGGAAGGUGUUGAGGUUAAUAACCUCAGCAAUUGACGUUACCCGCAGAAGAAGCACCGGCUAACUCCGUGCCAGCCGCCGCCGUAAUAC